rnacentral:rRNA from 1 species
UAACUGCUCGAAAGAGCAGCUAAUACCGCAUACGACCUGAGGGUGAAAGCGGGGGAUCGCAAGACCUCGCGCGAUUGGAGCGGCCGAUAUCAGAUUAGGUAGUUGGUGAGGUAAAGGCUCACCAAGCCGACGAUCUGUAGCUGGUCUGAGAGGACGACCAGCCACACUGGGACUGAGACACGGCCCAGACUCCUACGGGAGGCAGCAGUGGGGAAUUUUGGACAAUGGGCGCAAGCCUGAUCCAGCCAUGCCGCGUGCGGGAAGAAGGCCUUCGGGUUGUAAACCGCUUUUGUCAGGGAAGAAAAGGUUCUGGCUAAUACCUGGGACUCAUGACGGUACCUGAAGAAUAAGCACCGGCUAACUACGUGCCAGCAGCCGCGGUAAUACGUAGGGUGCAAGCGUUAAUCGGAAUUACUGGGCGUAAAGCGUGCGCAGGCGGUUAUGCAAGACAGAGGGUGAAAUCCCCGGGCUCAACCUGGGAACUGCCUUUGUGACUGCAUGGCUAGAGUACGGUAGAGGGGGGAUGGAAUUCCGCGUGUAGCAGUGAAAUGCGUAAGAUAUGCGGAGGAACACCGAUGGCGAAGGCAAUCCCCUGGACCUGUACUGACGCUCAUGCACGAAAAGCGUGGGGGAGCAAACAGGGAUUAGAUACCCUGGUAGUCCACGCCCUAAACGAUGUCAACUGGUUGUUGGGGAGGGUUUCUUCUCAGUAACGUAGCUAACGCGUGAAGUUGACCGCCUGGGGAGUACG